rnacentral:rRNA from 1 species
ACCCGCUGAAUUUAAGCAUAUAAGUAGGCGGUGGAAAAUAAACCAAAUGGGAUUCCUUAAGUAAUGGCGAAUGAACAAGGAACUGCUCAACUUGAAAAUCGGGGCUUCUGGCCUUGAAUUGUAAUUUUGAAAUGUAUUGCCAAUGGAGGCGCAGGUGCAAGCCAAUUGAAAGAAAGCGUCAAAGAAGGUGAAAAUCCUUUUUGUCAUUUGCAGCCCUCCGUGCACGGUAUAUAUUUGACGAGUCACACUCCUCGGCAUUGGAAUGCAAAGUGGGUGGUAAAUUUCAUGUAAAGAUUAAUAUAUUAUUGAGRCUGAUAGCGAACAAGUACCAUGAGGGAAAUAUGAAAAGGACUUUGAAAAGAGAAUUAAAAGAGUCUGCACUUGCUGAACAGAAAGCAAACAGAAGUGAUUAUGCUUGGUAAGAUUGUUGCGUCUUGUUGUUCUGCAACUUGGGCGCAGUGGUUCUUACCUUGUCUGCCAGCAUCUUUUCUGCAAAUCAGAACCCUGGCACAUGACUUGUAAAACGCCUGCGGGUGUUGGAAUGCAUGUGUUUGCUAUGAUUUGUGAUUAGAUUUGUGCGCGUGGUGCUUCGGUAUGUGGCUCUUUGCUGUGGGGGAAUUMUCCUCCRCCCUGCUGAAUCCCUUGCRCUACAUCGCUGGCAAAAUGUUUCUGCUUGACCCGUCUUGAAACACGGUCCAAGG